GUCUACGGCCGUACCACCCUGAACAAGCCCGAUCCCGUCUGAUCUCGGAAGCUAAGCAGAGUAGGGCUUGGUUAGUACUUGGAUGGGAGACCACCUAUUUUUCAUGCUGUAGGCA
rnacentral:rRNA from 1 species